CAGCAGUCCCACAGAGAGAGGGACGUCUCGACAGCCGCGGCCGGAUAGAAGCUACAGCGGGGCAGCUGAGUCCGUCUGCUGCUGCAGGACCUGGAGCUCACUGCCCGUUCCUGGGUACCAAAACCGACACCACGCAGCUAGAGGCCCAGGCCAUAUUGCUGGGCCCGCUGGAGGGAAGGGAAGCCCGGGAGAACCAGCACCAGAACUGAGCGGAGCGGACUGUCACAGCCUGCUGAAGUUUAAAUCACAGGUUUCCUAAAGGGAGUCUGGCGGGACUCGGACUGUGGAUGACGAAACAUGACUUUAAGUCUCGUUAAAUAAAUAAAUACACACAGAAA